GAUCCUGGCUCAGGAUGAACGCUAGCUACAGGCUUAACACAUGCAAGUCGAGGGGCAGCAUGUUGGUUGCUUGCAACCGAUGAUGGCGACCGGCGCACGGGUGAGUAACGCGUAUCCAACCUACCCUUGUCCAUCGGAUAACCCGUCGAAAGGCGGCCUAACACGAUAUGCGGUUCACCGCAGGCAUCUAACGUGAACGAAAUGUGAAGGAGAAGGAUGGGGGAUGCGUCUGAUUAG
rnacentral:rRNA from 1 species